rnacentral:rRNA from 1 species
CCUACGGGUGGCAGCAGUGGGGAAUAUUGCACAAUGGGGGAAACCCUGAUGCAGCGACGCCGCGUGAAGGAAGAAGGAUUGCGGUAUGUAAACUUCUAUCAGCAGGGAAGAAAAUGACGGUACCUGACUAAGAAGCCCCGGCUAACUACGGGCCAGCAGCAGCGGGAAUCCGUCGGGGGCAAGCGUUAUCCGGAUUUACUGGGUGUAAAGGGAGCGUAGGCGGCGAUGCCAGUCAGCAGUGAAAGCCCGGGGCUCAACUCCGGGACUGCUUUUGCAACUGUGUUGCUAGAUUGCAGGAGAGGUAAGUGGAAUUCCUAGUGUAGCGGUGAAAUGCUUAGAUAUUCGGAGGAACACCAGUGGCGCAGGCGGCUUACUGGACUGUAAAUGACGCUGAGGCUCGAACGCGUGGGGAGCAACCAGGAUUAGAUACCCCUGUAGUC